rnacentral:rRNA from 1 species
AUUGAACGCUGGCGGCAGGCCUAACACAUGCAAGUCGAACGAGUGGCGGACGGGUGAGUAAUGUCUGGGAAACUGCCCGAUGGAGGGGGAUAACUACUGGAAACGGUAGCUAAUACCGCAUACCAUCGGAUGUGCCCAGAUGGGAUUAGCUAGUAGGGGGGGUAACGGCUCACAUAGGCGACGAUCCCUAUCUGGUCUGAGAGGAUGACAGGCAACAUGGGAAGGGAGACACGUUCCUGGAUCCUACGGGAGGGAGCAGUGGGGAAUAUUGGACAAUGGGCGCAAGCCUGAGGCAGCCAUGCCGCGUGUAUGAAGAAGGCGUUCGGGUUGUAAAGUACUUUCAGCGAGUAGGCGUUACUCGCAGAAGAAGCAUCGGCUAACUCCGUGCCAGCAGCCGCGGUAAUAC